AUCUAUAGCCAUACCACUCUGAAUGCCCCCAAUCUUAUCUGAUCUCAGAAGAUAAGCAGGGUUAGGCCUAGGGGACUGCUUAAUACUUGGAUGAGAGA
ensembl:rRNA 5S_rRNA 5S ribosomal RNA